CCGUAGCGCGGUGGUCCCACCUGACCCCAUGCCGAACUCAGAAGUGAAACGCCGUAGCGCCGAUGGUAGUGUGGGGUUUCCCCAUGCGAGAGUAGGGAACUGCCAGGU
rnacentral:rRNA from 1 species